GAUGAACGCUGGCGGCGUGCCUAAUACAUGCAAGUCGAGCGAACAGACGAGGAGCUUGCUCCUCUGACGUUAGCGGCGGACGGGUGAGUAACACGUGGAUAACCUACCUAUAAGACUGGGAUAACUUCGGGAAACCGGAGCUAAUACCGGAUAAUAUAUUGAACCGCAUGGUUCAAUAGUGAAAGACGGUUUUGCUGUCACUUAUAGAUGGAUCCGCGCCGCAUUAGCUAGUUGGUAAGGUAACGGCUUACCAAGGCGACGAUGCGUAGCCGACCUGAGAGUGUGAUCGGCCACACUGGAACUGAGACACGGUCCAGACUCCUACGGGAGGCAGCAGUAGGGAAUCUUCCGCAAUGGGCGAAAGCCUGACGGAGCAACGCCGCGUGAGUGAUGAAGGUCUUCGGAUCGUAAAACUCUGUUAUUAGGGAAGAACAAAUGUGUAAGUAACUAUGCACGUCUUGACGGUACCUAAUCAGAAAGCCACGGCUAACUACGUG
rnacentral:rRNA from 1 species